CGCUUCGUCAGUCUUUACGAAUCCAUUGUACGCUACGUUAGCCGUCGUUGUCGUCGUUAUUAUUAUAACUAUUUGUCAUUCUGCCGGAACAAAAUUCGGUUUUCAACAGUCUUUAUUCUCUCUGAUUUUGUUCGUCAAAAUUAUUUCCACUGCCCGCCGCUGUACCUAUUAUAUACCCCGCCUAUAUUUCUACAGACUUCACGCGAUGUUCCGAUGACCCGUAGUAUGUUCGUCUUAACGGCCGAAAAUGUUAGAUUCGUCUUUGCACGUGAGCAAUGAAGAAUCGGACACGGCUGAUUGGCUGCCCAACUCGUUUUUAAGAUUCUUUCAACAGGAUUUGAAUAAUAUACCGGUGAAAAUCUUAGCUAGUAUACCAAAGUGUGGUGGUUGUCAAGAAUUAAUACUAGACAGAUUUAUAUUAAAAGUAUUGGAACGCACUUGGCACGCUCGCUGUUUAAAGUGUAACGAGUGUGGAGCUACAUUAGCCGACAAGUGUUUUGCUAGAAACGGAAUGCUGUUUUGUAAAGACGACUUCUUUAAAAGGUACGGGACAAAAUGUGCCGGUUGCGAUUUGGGAAUCCCGCCCACACAAAUAGUUCGGAGGGCUCAAGAUCUUGUCUACCACUUACAAUGUUUUGCUUGUGUCAUGUGUGGUCGUACAUUAAAUACUGGUGAUGAAUUUUAUUUAAUGGAAGAUCGGAAAUUAGUGUGCAAACCUGAUUACGAAGCCGCAAAAACUAAAGAGGGUGGAUGUCUGGACGGCGAUCAACCAAAUAAACGUCCAAGAACGACUAUUACGGCCAAACAGUUGGAAACAUUAAAAAUGGCAUACAACAAUAGUCCAAAACCAGCUAGACAUGUUAGAGAGCAGCUAAGUCAAGACACUGGGUUAGACAUGAGGGUAGUCCAAGUUUGGUUUCAAAACAGACGUGCAAAAGAAAAAAGGCUUAAAAAGGACGCUGGUAGAUCACGCUGGAGUCAAUAUUUCAGAACAAUGAAAGGUUCGAUUUCGCCUCGAAAUGACAAAGAUGAUCUUAAGGUUGAUCUUGAUUCGAACUUCAGUCAUUCUCAUGAUCUAGAAAGCAAUGACAGUUAUGGUACAAGCACAUUAACUAUAGAUCAAGAACACAGCUCUCCUUUACCUGGGAGUCAUCACCACAAGUUUUUACCUGGCAACUCUUCACCAUCGUCACAUCAAUACAUGUCAUCCCCCACUCAACACGUUACGACAUUUACAGCAGAUAAUGGUUACAUCACAGUAGGUCCUACACAUUCUGCGCCUUCAGAACUAAGUGACAACAGUAGCACACACGGUUUUGCAGAUUUCCCACCAAGUCCAGAUUCAUGGCUGGGAGAAACACCGCACAGAUAUUGAAAAUAUAUCAUCAUUAAUUAAAAUAAUGUAUUACGAAGUACAAAUCAAAAAUGUUCUUUUAACCUACCAAGGGCUAUAACAAACAUACUGACUAGGAGAACCAAGUUUUUAAAAUGUUUAAUAAUUAUUUUAUUUCUCGUGUUUGUGUGACAUGUGUAUCAUUAGUUCGCGCAACAGUUUUUAUGAUAUUUCAUUAGGUUUACGCCAAGAAUCGUGUUUAGAUGUAGAUAUUUUUUUCUUUUUGAUCUCGAAUUUAUAUUCAUUUAAAUGUUAUCUUUAAAUAAAUCAAAAUAAUUGUA